rnacentral:tRNA from 1 species
UAGUGUAGCAGUUAGCACAUCUGCUUUAUAUGCAGAAGGUCCUGGGUUUGUGCCCAG